GGACGGGUGAGUAACGCGUGGGAAUCUGCCCAGUAGUGGGGGACAACAGUCGGAAACGACUGCUAAUACCGCAUACGCCCUACGGGGGAAAGGGGGGGAUCUUCGGACCUCUCGCUAUUGGAUGAGCCCGCGUCGGAUUAGCUAGUUGGUGGGGUAAAGGCCUACCAAGGCUACGAUCCGUAACUGGUCUGAGAGGAUGAUCAGUCACACUGGAACUGAGACACGGUCCAGACUCC
rnacentral:rRNA from 1 species